UUUCUCUAUGAGCAACUCAACGAUCUUAGAGAAUAAUACUAUUGUACGUUGUAUAUAAUAAACAUUGAUAGCAUUAGCACUAUACAAUAGGAAAUAUUCGACUCUACUUCCGAGAAUAAUGAAACUGGUCUGAUAUAAUAUUUGGAUCACCGAAAGCUGGCCAAGAGAUUGCUUACUUCCAGUGAUGUGGACGAGAAAACCGUGUGACACCGUCCGCUACUUUCUACUAUUGUCAGUUGGUCGGUUAUUUGUGCUGUGUCAUGUAUUAUGUACCUGGUCGGAGAUCUUAUAGUAUAUUUUGAGUAUUGCUAUUUGGAGUCUUCAUAACGGCUUCUAUGAAAAAGAUUCAUUUGUCGAUAUAAAUAUCAAAUAAAUAUCAUUAGCUCUUAGAAAUAUUUGAAAAGUACAUACUACUUUCCACGAAUGUACAGAUUUAUUUAUCAGGCAUGCUGCUGAUAUCGUCACAGUAGUUCAGUAAUAAUCAUCGCUCUUGAAUA